GACCAAACAAUCACUGUUGAUGAGGGGACUGGAACCUCAACCCAGCAUGUUAUUGUGAUAGAAUCUGCAGAUGGAGAAGCUGCAGGUCCCGGGGUCAAGCAGGAAAGGUCUGAAGGAGAAGUGGACCCACGGCGCAGCAGAGACAUCCAGACUGGAGCGGCAGGAGAGCCCUCUGUAGCCACGGAGGACACCGCCCCAGAGCCUCCCAGGACCCAACGCAGCAUCACGGAGGAGGAGGAGGGUCCAGAGGUGCUGCUGGUGAAGGAGGAGG